UUUUUUCUUUUUGCGUUUCUCAUAUGGUAUCUGGUAUCCGGUAUCCGUAUUGGGGUCCCACUAAAUUUGGAAUCGAGCCGGGGUUCCCACAUUGGGGGGCAAAGAGCUAUAUAACAAAGGCAACUCCAUAUUCAGGAGACUCGAACCCGAGACUCUAGUCAAAGAUGACAGUGUACUUGCCGCGAACCACAACCCUUGUUGGUUAUUGUGUACAAUUACUGGUUUCACUUCUCAUGUUGGACAGCGUGGAACUGUUAUGUUAUUGUUGAUUUUUGGACUAUUGGUAGUGUAAAUAAUACAAGUACUAUCUAGGGAAAAUGAGUUUAGAAGAACAUUGAAGUCUUCAAUUAAAAAAAAGGGACAUGUGGGUCCCCUUUUUUUCUUUUCUUUUCCCCCGCUUAAACACUAAUGAGGGAGAAUGGCUUCAACUUAUAAUAUUCACAACUUUGAGAAAACUUCCACCUCUCGUUCUUCUCCUCUCCUAUAUCGACUUCAAUAACUCCAAAAAAAAAUCCUAUCUUGUUCUUCUCCUCUCUCUGUUCUUUUCUGUGAUUUUGGCUUCAAAAGUUUCACUUUCAAGAUUGUCAUCUUGUCGUAGUAGUAGGUAUUUAGAAGUUGGAAUGCAAAAACAGUUGAAAAUAAGGAAUUUGGAAGACAAGGCACUGCUAUGCACUUGUACGGACUGUCAACAUACCCGACGGUCCGUCAAGCAUGUCGUCAACCUGCCCUGAGAGAAAGUUCAGAGACUGUGCAAAAUUGAUGCAAAAGGACGAGAAGGUUGACGGACCGUCAACAUGAUCGACGGUCCGUCAAUAUACAUUGACGAUUGAGGUUUUGCAGCUUGAUUUUUGUCAUCAGAUCGUCAAAGUGCACCAUUGAUAUUCGACGGUAUCGUCAAUGUGCAAAGACGGUCCGUCGAGUUGCAAGCCGACCUGGGACAGGACUAGUUUAUUUAUUCCAAGUUUUUGACUUGUAUAAAUGCCCGAUUAGGUUUUAUUUUUCAGACAUCUUGAGUUUAAGACUUGUAUUGAGCACUUUGAGUUUUUAGUACUUUUCAAGGGUUUUAAGACUAUUCUAUAUUCGUUUAUCUUCAAUUCUCUUUGUAAGUUCAAACAACAAUUACACUUACUAUGUCUUGCAUUUUUAUCAAUUCCAUGAGUAGCUAAAUUCCCUACUAAGGUUGUGGACUUAA